AAAAAGUUCAUUUUGGGGUUUUUCCAUAAAAUAUUAUGGGAAAAACCGAAAUGAACUUUUGG
ensembl:miRNA